rnacentral:rRNA from 1 species
UACGAAGGGGGCUAGCGUUGCUCGGAAUCACUGGGCGUAAAGCGCACGUAGGCGGCUUCUUAAGUCAGGGGUGAAAUCCUGGAGCUCAACUCCAGAACUGCCUUUGAUACUGGGGAGCUUGGAGUCCGGAAGAGGUGAGUGGAACUGCGAGUGUAGAGGUGAAAUUCAUAGAUAUUCGCAAGAACACCAGUGGCGAAGGCGGCUCACUGGCCCGUUACUGACGCUGAGGCACGAAAGCGUGGGGAGCAAACAGG